rnacentral:rRNA from 1 species
CCUACGGGUGGCAGCAGUGGGGAAUAUUGGGCAAUGUGCGCAAGCCUGACCCAGCAACGCCGCGUGAAGGAAGACUGCUUUCGGGUUGUAAACUUCUUUUGACAUGGAAGAGUAGAAGACGGUACCUGUCGAAUAAGCCACGGCUACCUACGUGCCCGCAGCCGCGGUAAUACGUAGGUUGCAAGCGUUGUCCGGAUUUACUGGGUGUAAAGUGCGUGUAGCCGGGUUGACAAGUCAGAUGUGAAAUACUGCGGCUUAACCGCAGAACUGCAUUUGAAACUGUUGAUCUUGAGUACUGGAGAGGUAGACGGAAUUCGUAGUGUAGCGGUGAAAUGCGUAGAUAUGAGGAGGAACACCAGUGGCGAAGGCGGUCUGCUGGACAGCAACUGACGGUGAGGCGCGAAAGCGUGGGGAGAAAACAGGAGUAGAUACCCUGGUAGUC